GAAGAACGCUGGCGGCGUGCUUAACACAUGCAAGUCGAACGAAGUGGCGAACGGGUGAGUAACGAGUAAUAAACCUGCCCUUCAGGGGGGGACAACAGUUGGAAACGACUGCUAAUACCGCAUACGGAAGGAGGGGAUUGCGUUUGGUUUGCUAGUGGGGGGGGGAACGGCCCACCAAGGCGAUGAACAGUUGCCGGGCUGAGAGGGUGAACGGGCACCUUGGGACUGAGACACGGCCCAGACUCCGAAGGGAGGCAGCAGUGGGGAAUCUUCCGCCAUGGACGAAAGUCUGACGGAGCAACGCCGCGUGAGUGAUGACGGCCUUCGGGUUGUAAAGCUCUGUUAAUCGGGACGCGGUACCGGAAUAGAAAGCCACGGCUAACUACGUGCCAGCAGCCGCGGUAAUUC
rnacentral:rRNA from 1 species